UACGUAGGGGGCAAGCGUUGUCCGGAUUUAUUGGGCGUAAAGAGCGUGUAGGCGGUUUGGUAGGUCCGUUGUGAAAACUCGAGGCUCAACCUCGAGACGCCGAUGGAAACCAUCAGACUAGAGUCCGGAAGAGGAGAGUGGAAUUCCUGGUGUAGCGGUGAAAUGCGCAGAUAUCGUCAAGAACACCGAUAGUGAAGACAGCUAACUAGACUUAUACUGACGCUGAGGCACGAAAGUGUGGGGAUCAAACAGG
rnacentral:rRNA from 1 species